AAUGAAAAAACUUUUUUCGGGCGGCCGCCAUUUAAUUUCUCGGUUAAGCGAAAAAACUUGGACAUUUAGCUCGUUAUGACAGCUUUCAGAACUGAAAGUUUGCUCAUAAUUGCCUUUUGGAAAAAAGACACUGUGCUUUUGAUAUAAGACACAGAACGUUCGGACAGUGUGAGGUUAUCUCCGAAUGGGAAACUGGUGAAAACUAAAUCAAGAUUCAUCAAAGAUUCAAGACCAGCAAAAGGCAAUGUUUUGUUAACCAGGGACAAGAACUCAUCAGUAGGAUUUGAAACUUUGCAUGGUUGGAGUACCAUCAUGUUAUGUUUGCGGUAGCACCAUUUUGUAAAUAUCUUUUGAGUAUUAUGAUUGUUGGUUCUGAACCAGUGGUUGAAAACCGACAGUUUGAUCAGUACACUACUCAAAAAAGAUGUACACCUUGUGCACACAUCACCUGAAGAACCCAUCUCUGGGGAACAUCAGCCAUCAAUGCUAAUGAUGUUUGAAUUGUAUUACAAAAAUACUUAAUUUUAAAAACAAAUUUUCCAUCCUCACAGCAACAAAUUAGACAAACAAACUUUUAAGUUUUGGUACUGCUGAAAAAAAACACAAGUAAGAAUAUAAAGCAUGACCAUUUUUUUAAUAAUUAAUAUGUCCUGAGUUAGAAUUUAGAAAAAAAAAUCACGACAUGCCUAUUAAUUUUACCAAUAACUUAUUAUUGUAAUGUUUACAUCAUUAUAGUUUUACCAAACUUAUUUGGACUCAUUCAUUGAGGAUUCAGGGAAAACCACAUACACAUCACACAAAGCUACUUUUGUCAUGAACUUUAUCUUUGCAACUUUCUACUUUAAUAUUAUGUGUUGAAUAUUAAUAUGUUUGCUUGUAAGAAAAUUUAAACACUGAAGCAAUUUGUUAAUAAAACAUUGUUUUCUCAU